rnacentral:rRNA from 1 species
AUUGAACGCUGGCGGCAGGCCUAACACAUGCGAGUCGAGCGGAUGAAGGGAGCUUGCUCCUGGAUUCAGCGGCGGACGGGUGAGUAAUGCCUAGGAAUCUGCCUGGUAGUGGGGGAUAACGUCCGGAAACGGGCGCUAAUACCGCAUACGUCCUGAGGGAGAAAGUGGGGGAUCUUCGGACCUCACGCUAUCAGAUGAGCCUAGGUCGGAUUAGCUAGUUGGUGGGGUAAAGGCCUACCAAGGCGACGAUCCGUAACUGGUCUGAGAGGAUGAUCAGUCACACUGGAACUGAGGCACGGUCCAGACUCCUACGGGAGGCAGCAGUGGGGAAUAUUGGACAAUGGGCGAAAGCCUGAUCCAGCCAUGCCGCGUGUGUGAAGAAGGUCUUCGGAUUGUAAAGCACUUUAAGUUGGGAGGAAGGGCAGUAAGUUAAUACCUUGCUGUUUUGACGUUACCAACAGAAUAAGCACCGGCUAACUUCGUG